GGCUUAAUACUUUAAAUUAAAAGAUUUGAUUUGCAUUCAAAAAAUAAGUCCUAACUUUUAGGCCA
rnacentral:tRNA from 1 species